rnacentral:rRNA from 1 species
CAGCAGUAGGGAAUCUUCCGCAAUGGACGAAAGUCUGACGGAGCAACGCCGCGUGAGUGAUGAAGGUUUUCGGAUCGUAAAGCUCUGUUGUUAGGGAAGAACAAGUGCCGUUCAAAUAGGGCGGCACCUUGACGGUACCUAACCAGAAAGCCACGGCUAACUACGUGCCAGCAGCCGCGGUAAUACGUAGGUGGCAAGCGUUGUCCGGAAUUAUUGGGCGUAAAGGGCUCGCAGGCGGUUUCUUAAGUCUGAUGUGAAAGCCCCCGGCUCAACCGGGGAGGGUCAUUGGAAACUGGGGAACUUGAGUGCAGAAGAGGAGAGUGGAAUUCCACGUGUAGCGGUGAAAUGCGUAGAGAUGUGGAGGAACACCAGUGGCGAAGGCGACUCUCUGGUCUGUAACUGACGCUGAGGAGCGAAAGCGUGGGGAGCGAACAGGAUUAGAUA